AGAGUUUGAUCCUGGCUCAGGAUGAACGCUGGCGGCGUGCCUAACACAUGCAAGUUGAACGAAGCGCUUACAACUAAAUCCUUCGGGAGGAAGAAGUAAGUGACUUAGUGGCGGACGGGUGAGUAACGCGUGGGCAACCUGCCCUGUACAGGGGGACAACAGCCGGAAACAGCUGCUAAUACCCCAUAAGCGCACAGUAACGCAUGUUACAGUGUGAAAAGCCGAGACGGUACAGGAUGGGCCCGCGUCUGAUUAGAUAGUUGGUGGGGUAGAGGCCUACCAAGUCAGCGAUCAGUAGCCGGUCUGAGAGGGUGAACGGCCACAUUGGAACUGAGACACGGUCCAGACUCCUACGGGAGGCAGCAGUGGGGAAUAUUGCACAAUGGGGGAAACCCUGAUGCAGCGACGCCGCGUGAAGGAAGAAGUAUUUCGGUAUGUAAACUUCUAUCAGCAGGGAAGAAAAAAGACGGUACCUGACUAAGAAGUCCCGGCUAACUACGUG
rnacentral:rRNA from 1 species